UAAAACACAAUGUUAUGAGUGAGCGAGCAGCCUGUGGCAAGAUGGCCGCCAUGUGAGGACGUCGACCUCCAUUAGCCAACAGCGCUGACAAGGUAUCUAGCCUUUAUAUAUGAUGUCUAUGGGCACAAGGACAAAACGAGAGCGUUCGCGUAGUAGACCGCACUUUUUUGGAACAUAGACGACACUUGUAUGAGCGGGAGUUUGUCGGGAAGUGAUGUAAUUAAUUUAAACGGUAUAGUGCCGAGAAAGAUCAGCUAGGUAAGAGAUCGAAAAGUUUUUAAUAAAAAAAUUAUAUAACUAGUUAUAUUAAUAAUAAAUAGUGAACAGUGGAGAUGCUAUUAGAGAAAAAAAUACUUUCUCUCGUUGGUGGAAAACCCAACAAAAAAAGGACCCUGAAGUUAAUCAAGUGGCUGCAAAAAAAACAUCUGCUCCAGGCCAAAAUGAGGUGCAGAAGAUGCCACCAUAGAAUGAAGCUAAUACCAAAUGCAAACAAAGUAGACUACUGUGAAUAGGUCUGCAGAAGGCAAACACACAGAGGAAGAUCAACAACCAAGUUGCCAAGGUCUGGAUCUUUGUUUGAGAGAUCAAAAUGUACCCUAUUCAAUUGGAUGAAAUUCAUCUACAGAUUUGCACAAGGGCUUAGCUUGAGGCAAAUUGAUAUGCUCAGGGAAGGGAUUACUGGAACUUCUCAAACACUCUCCAAGAUGGCAAAAACACUGAGGAGAGUCUAUCGCCACUCAAUGAAGGCAUAUGUCAGAAGAAAGGGCCAAGUCGUUGGACGACACAGGGAAUUUGUCAUGAUUGAUGAAAGCAACUUCCGUCAUAAACGAAAGGUAGGUAACUUUCUACUGUAUAGUAUGAUACCAAAAUUAUGUGAUUAUGAUAACAACAAACUCUGCUUUCUUCAAAGAAUACUCCAUUUGCAUCAAUUACAACCUUGCAGAAAUUUGGGAUGCUAGUUGUCAAUAUGUAUUCUUUAGAGAUUUCACCCCAUGCUUCCUGAAGCACCUCCCACAGGUUGGAUUAGCUUGAUGGACACUUAUAACGUAUCUUACGGUCAAGCAGCUCCUACAGCAGCUCAAUAGGGUUGAGAUCCAUUGACUGUGCAGGCCACUCCAUUAUAGACAGAAUACCAGCUGAGUGCUUCCCUAAAUAAUUUGUGCAUAGUUUAGAACUGUGCUUUGGGUCAUUGUUCUGUUGCAGGAGGAAAUUGUGUCGAAUCAAGCAUCGACCAAAGGCUAUGGCAUGUCAUUGCAAAAUAAUGAUGGACUUCUUUCAAGAUCCCUUCCACGCUGUGCAAAUCUCCCACUUUACCACCACCAAAGCACCACCAGACCAUUACAUUGCUUCCACCGUACUUUACAGAUGGCGUCAAGCACAUUCUUAGUGAUUUGAACACCUCAGACUUAGAUUUGUCUUUCCAUAACACUUUAUUUCCAAUAUUCCUCUGUCCAGUGUUUUUGCUCUUUUGCCCACCUUAAUCUUUUCUUUUUAUUUAUUGUUUUUAUCAAUCGGAGAUAUGGAUUUUUCUUUCCAACUCUGCCUACAAGGCCAGCAUCCAAAGACGCAUCAUCACUGUUGACAUUGAGGCUGGGGUUUUGCAGUAUGGACGAGGAAGGGUUGCACAGACAUGGGCUCGAAGAAAGUGGGUGUUCGGGAUUCUUGGCGUUUCACAAAGAAGAAGGAGGCCCAUUCUGAGACUGGUUAAGCGUAGGUCUAGACGUCACCUGGUACCCUUAAUUGAGCGGCAUGUGUAUCCUGGAAGCCAAAUCAUCAGUGACGAAUGGCGGGCUUACAGAGGCAUACUCACCUUUGUGAACCACAGUCGAUGGUUUGUGGACGCAAGAACAGGAGGCCAUACACAAAAUCUAGAGAGAGCAUGGUCUACUUUCAAAGGGUAUGUAUGGCGGAUGAGAGGGAACAGAACUGAGUCCAUGCUAAAGGAGCACCUCUUCCUAAUUGAGUGGACUUAUUGGCUUGGCAACUGCCACAGAUACGGUCCACUUGGGAGAUUGUUGAAGGACAUUCGGCACAUGUUCCACUUAUAAGGUGUUUCAUUUGUAGAUCAUGCAUGUAAUCCUAGGGAAAUUCUUUAGCUUUGUUAGGUUCUGUUUAUGCUCGGUUUAGAUUUUGCUUUUGUUUUUUACCGUGAUCUGUUUGGUUUUGGUCCUUUGAUUUUGAAUGCAGCUUGUCCUUUUGUAUUAUUAAGUCUGUUUUCUUAAAAUACCUGUUUGUUUAAGCGACCUUUGUGUGUGCCUGUGUCCUGCUACCCCUGUUGCAUUAUGACAACCUUACUAUAAAGAUCUUACAUUUUAUUAAUCUUUAAUUAUAAUCAAACAAAUUAUUAUUGUCUGCAAGUGCAUUUAAGCUAUGAAAACAUAGUUAUGUCUUUACAGUUUACAAGGAUCACAAAGCUACUUAACUAAUAAUUAAUUAUCAGUACUUAAUAGUUUAUAACCAUUUGCAAGCUCUAUUCAACAAUUACUAAACGAAUGAAUAGUCAUGACUUUACAACAAGGAUAACACAUUACCUUAACUAAUUAUUAAUUAUCAGUAUGUUACAGUUCAUAAUCAUCUAAAAGCAUUAAUAAACUAAAGAUAACUAAGAAAUAGAUGAGUUAAGCAUUACAGACACAUUUUUAAUACAAUACAUUUCUACUUAACAGUCAUUAGGAUGAAUAAAUGAGAUCUGCAUUUUUGCACAAAUUACAUUUGGGUAAUAUUACUUUGGAGUUAAUGUAAUGCAUUUCUUUGUGAGAACAUUCAAGCAUGUUUAAAGUAUAUAUAUAUAUCAUAGAUUCUUGAAACAGCAGAAUUAUACAUGUGAUAAUUAAGCAAUACAUUAGGAGUGUAACACAUGAGUUCUUGAACUUCAUGACAUAUCAAGAAGAAAUAAUACACAGGAUUGACAACAGCUAUUAUUGUUCAUGAUGGACACAAGAAAAAGCAAGUAAGUAAGCAACAGGUCACUGAGUAACAAGUAAGGUAAUGUUCACGAAGGACUAAAGCCUGGCUUCUGUGACUGGACAGUAUUCAGCAACAAAUGACAGUAGUUGGGGGAAAGGUGUUGUUUGUUAAAGGAAUUAGGGUUAUUCUAUAUGUUGCCUUCUAAGAAAUGACUUCAUUUGAACUGAUUAUGUUCAAUAAUAAACAUUUAAUUGUUUUCCAUAUGAUGAAAGACACCAAAUCAGUAGUUGCAUUAUGUCAUCAUGAAAUCAUUUAAAUUCAUGUAUGAGUUCAUGUUUGCUAUUGGGCCAUUCAACAGUUAGCUAGAUAUAUUAAUGUUUAUUAACACAUGCACACCAAUGAUAAAUUGCAUCAAUUAAGAUUUG